UCCGGAAUCAUUGGGCGUAAAGCGCCUGUAGGUUGUUUAAUAAGUCUGUUGUUAAAGACUAGGGCUCAACCCUAGAAAAGCAAUGGAAACUAAUAGACUAGAGUAUGGCAGGGGUAGAGGGAAUUUCUAGUGUAGCGGUGAAAUGCGUAGAUAUUAGAAAGAACACCAGUGGCGAAAGCGCUCUACUGGACCAUUACUGACACUCAGAGGCGAAAGCUAGGGUAGCAAAAGGGAUUAGAUACCCCUGUAGUCCUAGCCGUAAACGAUGGAUACUAGAUGUUGUGUUAUAUCACAGUAUCGCAGCUAACGCAUUAAGUUCUCCGCCUGGGGAGUACGUCCGCAAGGAUGAAACUCAAAGUAAUUGACGGGGGCCCGCACAAGCGGUGGAGCAUGUGGUUUAAUUCGAUGCAACGCGAAAAACCUUACCUACAAUUGACAUACUGCGAAUUUUCUAGAGAUAGAUUAGUGCCUUCGGGAGCGCAGAUACAGGUGCUGCAUGGCU
rnacentral:rRNA from 1 species